rnacentral:rRNA from 3 species
AAGCGUGUAGGUGUGUGUUCCAGGUAAAUCCGGUUCACUUUAACACUGAGGCGUGACGACGAGGCACUACGGUGCUGAAGCAACAAAUGCCCUGCUUCCAGGAAAAGCCUCUAAGCAUCAGGUAACAUCAAAUCGUACCCCAAACCGACACAGGUGGUCAGGUAGAGAAUACCAAGGCGCUUGAGAGAACUCGGGUGAAGGAACUAGGCAAAAUGGUGCCGUAACUUCGGGAGAAGGCACGCUGACACGUAGGUGA